rnacentral:pre_miRNA from 1 species
AAAAAGACAAACCCUAGGUUUCCAUGUCCAACGUUUGACUGUCCGUCUUAUAUGAAAUUUUUUUAUAAUUUGUAUUUUCAUUGUUGUUAGAGGAUAAAAUAUGAUUAAUACUUUAUGCGUGACUUGUCUUUUUAAUUUUUUUCAUAAUUUUUUCAAAUAAGACGGACGGUCAAACGUUGGACACGGAAAUCAGGGUUUAUCUUUUU